ensembl:lncRNA
GGCUUGAAAUUUUCCUGGUAUGUGCCAAAAUGUCUUCUAUAAAUCUGGUAGGCUUAUGUACUUAGUCUGCCUAUUUUGCAUGUUGCAGUUUGCUAUUUUUCCUCUAUUCCUAAUCCCCAUCUUCCAACCCAGAAACCAGAUGGUUUGAAGCCAUUGUCCUUCCCUGUGAUCUCAGUUGUCUUUUUAUUUAAGGCACCUCAGCCAAGUUCAUUAAAGGCAGGUGGGGUUAGAUGGCUCCAGUGCUCUGGCAUAGAAGUACCAUAUAAUCUCUUCUCAGCUGCUUGGAACUCACUUUUGCCUCCACCAGCUCCAUCUGCUUCCCUCACUCUCUUCCAAUUCCUGGUGUACAGAGCAGCCUUAGCUGUCUCUUGAUCCCUCACAGCAAGCUGGCCUGGACCCUGCUUUCUCUGGAAGGAAAUUGCUUUCUAAAAAGCUUAAUAAUGGAGCACCUUCCCCCAGCAUCAGCCUCAUGAUGCACCCAGAGCAUUACUAGUUGGAGGACCUUGUUCUGCUGGUAGAGUGAAAGCUGAAUGCUACUUUGUGCUUUCCUCCACACUACAUGGUCUACUGGGAAAGGUGUUUCCUCCUUGAAGAGUGUCAGCACAAACACCACCAUGCUGAGGAUUUACAGGCAGAAGAGAAUUGCACCAGAUGCCAGUUCAGUGCACUCACACUUUUCUGAUGGUGCAACAAAAGAAACCCUGGUAGCCUGCCUGCAGACAAGUUACUUGCAUCACUCGUUGGUUGUCUUGCUGUGUGAAAGUAGUGCACCCAGAAACAGGAUGUGGGAGCUGCUCAACUGCAUUUCUUCUUUGAGUACUUAGACCUGUGCUGGACACACUUGAUAAUACUUCUCCAUACAAUCUAACCCUUCAGCAGCCUUCUGUUUAUCUCGAUUGGAAAGCAGGUCAGUAUAAAGACAAGAGUUCCUCAAGUGCUACUAAUGCACAAAAAACAGUUCUCCUUUCUAAGUGGAUUUUUUUUUGUCCUUCUAUCACGUCUCUGGUUUCUCCUCACCCUCUUUAGAAACGGGACUGUCUGCCUGGAGAGAAAUGUGCCUUGGACAAACAAGACCAAAGAGUCUUCGCUUUGGAGUUCUUGAGAAGAACUAUCCCUUUUUAAAAGGGAGUUUAAACAAAAAUGUCUAGGCAGAGAGGGCUCACAACCUCUCCCUAGCAACAGCUGCCCCAGAAGGUGACUGCGGUGUUUCCAACGAUGACCUCCAUGCAUCUCUCACGGCCUCAUCUCUUUUCAAGACCCUUUCAUGUGACAGACCCCAUGAUGAAUGCCUGGAGACUGUACUGUACCACAUUACUUAUUUUGUCAGAGCUGCUGUCUCUGCCAAAUGGUGGCCAGACACUCAGACAGACUCUCCCAAUUAGCAGAGUCCUGCAGCUGAUGUCUGGGGCUGCAUCUGUGUGCCCUGUGCAUUACUACAGCUGAGACACUGGCUAGGCCCUCAUGGCCCGGGGUAGGUAACCACCUCAGCCACAGGGCAAGGAGGAAGCAGCUGGGCCUUCUUGAAAGAUGCGAUUUCCCUCAGUUCCUCUUGCUUGGCUGUGAAGGCGGCUAUUUGCAUGUUUAGUCCUUUCAUCCUUCUGUGGCCUGGGUGGAUCUGGAGCCGGCAGAGUGACUCAUCUGGGUCAUGCCACAGGCCUUGGCUUCCUUCUCAGUCUCAGCAAGGAGCGACUCCACACGCUGACCGUGGCGGAUCCCACAGGAUGUCGGUGUGUGGGGCCGGCUCCUGGUGCAACUCGGACUCCAGGUGAGCCCUUGUGUCACUGGCAUCUCCAGGCUCCCCUGAGCCUUGGGCUUAUGGCAGUCUCAGUAUAACUCCAGAGAUGUCUGCCUCGUCCUUUUCCCUCUGAUCCCCAGAGACACAUCUCAUGUCCUUGUCCUUGCUGCAUGCUUGCAGCUGCUUUGUGUCCCACAGACUUGCUUUGCACCUUUCAGAAACUUUGCCACUUUUGCUGCAUAUACAAAAUAGCCUUCCUCCUCAGCACAAGUGCAUUUAAUCUCCCUCAAACCUUAAAAGAAAAUAUUCUUCUAAUUUUACUCCUGUGGUAACCUCUUGUCUUCCUCACAGUUACUUUUUGGCUGGUGUUUACUUCUGAGAUCUUUUAUAAUGUUUCAGUGUUCUUUGAGCAGUGGCACUUGCAUGCUGCAACCAGACAUGGAUGAUGAAAGCCAUAUGCAAAGAAAUGGUCCUCCUCUGAAGAGCUCACAGACUGCAGGUGGUGGUGGGGAAAAGGUGGAUUCCCAAAGCAGCUACUUGGCAUUAUUGGCAGCAGCAAUCUGAAAAGAAAGACCCAACCAGACUGCAGCUUUGUUUGGCAUCAAACUUGCCUCCUGAGAUGAUCACACAAGAAGUCUUUUAUCACUUUGGCAGCUGAGAGCCAGAGCUGCUUGUGGUGGAAGUCGCUGGGACCGUAACCCCGAGUUGUCGUGGGAUGAGAGUCAAGCUUGGCCUGUCAGCAAGGCGAGUUGCAGCAGUCUGAGCCCCUGCCAGGACACGUCAGUACUUCUGAGCGUGCUUCCCCCGGUGCUGCUCUCAUUAAGGAAAAGGCCACAACCCUUGGUGAGACCAAUCUUUCUAGAGAUGUUUCCGGUCCCAAUUUCUUUUGGCAAGUCAACUCCAUAAUUCAGGUAUUUUGCCCAGUUGAAGGAAGGUGUGGGUGGCACAGUAGGAUCACCAAGAGACCACAAGACUUGGAAGAGUAAUAUUCUGCACUUCAUAUCCACGUUAACUAAUACUUGGACUCCUGCAGGCAAGUACCAGCUGGCAGGGAGAGGUGGGGAGAUGGGGCCUAGUCCAGCUCUCUAUCAAAACAAACUUCCCUGUGCUAUUGUUGAACAGAGCUGUUUAGAAAUACCAGCAGCUGAGCCAUGCACAGGCAUGAGCAGUCUCCAGUGUAACCCCUGAGAAGCUCUGUGGGCAGGAUUCUAAAUUGACUGGUAGACUGAAAUGACAGCAGUCACAUCACUGCUGUGUAUCUGUUACCCAUCUGUCUCUUGGGA